rnacentral:rRNA from 1 species
UAGGGAAUCUUCGGCAAUGGGGGCAACCCUGACCGAGCAACGCCGCGUGAGUGAAGAAGGUUUUCGGAUCGUAAAGCUCUGUUGUAAGUCAAGAACGAGUGUGAGAGUGGAAAGUUCACACUGUGACGGUAGCUUACCAGAAAGGGACGGCUAACUACGUGCCAGCAGCCGCGGUAAUACGUAGGUCCCGAGCGUUGUCCGGAUUUAUUGGGCGUAAAGCGAGCGCAGGCGGUUUGAUAAGUCUGAAGUUAAAGGCUGUGGCUCAACCAUAGUUCGCUUUGGAAACUGUCAAACUUGAGUGCAGAAGGGGAGAGUGGAAUUCCAUGUGUAGCGGUGAAAUGCGUAGAUAUAUGGAGGAACACCGGUGGCGAAAGCGGCUCUCUGGUCUGUAACUGACGCUGAGACUCGAAAGCAUGGGUAGCGAACAGGAUUAGAUACCCUGGUAGUCCAUGCCGUANCGAUGAGUGCUAGGUGUUGGAGGGUUUCCGCCCUUCAGUGCCGGAGCUAACGCAUUAANCACUCCGCCUGGGGAGUACGACCGCAAGGUU